rnacentral:rRNA from 1 species
UACGGAGGGGGCGAGCGUUAUUCGGAAUCAUUGGGCGUAAAGGGCGCGUAGGCGGCCCCGUAAGUCUUGGGUGAAAGCCCUCGGCUCAACCGAGGAAUUGCCUUGGAUACUGCGGGGCUCGAGGCUGGAAGAGGACAGUGGAAUUCCAGGUGUAGCGGUGAAAUGCGUAGAUAUCUGGAGGAACACCGGUGGCGAAGGCGACAUCCUGGACCGGCAUUGACGCUGAGGCGCGAAAGCCAGGGGAGCAAACGGG